rnacentral:misc_RNA from 1 species
CUUUUUUAAAAAUUUUUUUUUUUACAUUCUUUUUUGAUAAAAAAAGAGGAUAUUUGUUUUGUUAGGUUUCUUAUAGACUCCUUUGCAUUUUUCUUACGAUGCACUUAUUUCCACCCUAUAUUUUUUACCCAUAACACUAUGAUUCUAGCUGUGCUUUACUUGGGGCUUAUUGGGCUCUUCUUUCUCUUCUGGUCAUCACAUUCCCCACAGCAUUUUGUGUAUGAGAAAUUUUCCUUUCAUAUUCUAAUGCAAUUAAAGCAUAAAUUCUCAGAAGCAAUUCUCUGAUUAAACUACUCUGCUAUGUGAGAAUUGGUAGUGUUAUUUCUUCCUCAUGGUUUAUUGAAAUAGACCCUUCUGUGUAUUUUUGUUGUGUUUUUGUCCAUCCACUUCAACUUUUUCAUAUUUUCUAAUUUCUAUGCACUUUUCUUGUAUUCAUGUCCAACCAUUUCAAUUUUGACCAAGUUGUGAGUGAGGCCCUUACCUUGAAUUAGUUUUAUUUAAAGCAAAUUUAGCCAUAUGUUAAGCUCAAAACUCCAGGAGCUCUAGUAAGUUCACAAUUUCUUGAGAAUUGUUGAA